GAGCUUGUGUUCAAUUGUACAGGAAAAUAAUCCUAAUUUUAAUAAUUAUCCCUUCAAGAAUUUCUACCCAUCAUGAAGAAUGGAGAUAUUAACUAAGCUAAGGUCAGAUUUUGGGCCGAAGCUUAAGCAAACAAUAUGUGGCCCAACCUAACUGGAUUUCGAACUGAUUGAGGUUCACGAGGUGUUCGAUAAUUUGCCCGAGAAAGAACUCCCGCCAAUGUUAUUCGUUUCUCGUCUUCAAUAAGUUCAGUUAUUAAAUCAAAUUUAUUUAAUUUCGGUGGGUUUUCUUUUUAUAUUGCAGGGAGAGGCAGGGAUUCAAGUUGGUUACUUUGCCAGAGCUUCAACUCUCUUCUGAUUUUGAUUAGGGGGCUUCACUAAGAGUAACCGGAAAGCAAUCUUGCAAGCACAUACUGGUAGGAAUAUUGAUGGUAUUGCUAGUAAGACAGUUCCAAGCUGAGUGCACGUAGAAUGCAACUACUUAAUGAAGUUUUGGAUUUGAACACACUCGCUUGGGGAUUUCAAGAUCUCCAUGUCAGAAAUGAAAAAGGGCUUCUUCUAUUUUCUUCCCCAAUCAUCCAUUGCGUUACAUAAGGAGAAGUUUCUGUGAAGAAUGAGCCACAACAACCCAACUUAACUUUUCUAAGUAAUCUGUUGAUACAUUGCUGGAGUUUCGUGGUGGUUUAUGGGUUUAUCUGGCGGGCGGAGAGCAGUAGGUAAUGAUAGCGGCCAGAGUUUGACUUCCUUGAGGGGCUGGAGCAUGAGAUAGUAGAAGAGUGUGACUGUUUGAAUCUAGAGCGAGAGAAGAGAGAGUUGCCCUGUUUUGGUGACCGUGGGUUUUAAAAAGGAACUCUUCAGAUCGUUUCCAAAGUCUCGUGUCAUUUUGGUAUUGGUUUUCUAUUGUUUGGAGUCCAAUCGACCUACAUGUAUCCCAUCACACGUGAUUGAGAAUACAUGUAAGCUCCAAACGAUCAAUUGGAACUAUCAAUGACUAUGCUUAUGAGGUUAUGGGUAGCAAGAUUUUGACCAUGCGAGGUUUAAGCUGGUAAGAUAAUCUUUAGAAGAGCAGUACGUUUAUUUUUAAUAAAAUUAAAAAUAAUAAUGACGAUAAAAUUAAUUAUUGUAACUGUGAGGGUUACCAUCCAUCCAAAUGGGUACUUAAUAUGGAAUCUCUAGCGAGAUGUGUAAAGUAUUAUCCAAACUUACUUACAAGUACUAUGUAUAACGUAAUUGAAUUUGUAACCAUAUUACUUUCCUUGGGAAAAUAAAGAUGCCACAUUUUGAAGCUUCAA